GACGAACGCUGGCGGCGUGCUUAACACAUGCAAGUCGAACGGUAAGGCCCUUCGGGGUACACGAGUGGCGAACGGGUGAGUAACACGUGGGUGAUCUGCCCCGCACUUCGGGAUAAGCCUGGGAAACUGGGUCUAAUACCGGAUAGGACCACUGCCUGCAGGGGUGGUGGUGGAAAGCUUUUGCGGUGUGGGAUGGGCCCGCGGCCUAUCAGCUUGUUGGUGGGGUGAUGGCCUACCAAGGCGACGACGGGUAGCCGGCCUGAGAGGGUGACCGGCCACACUGGGACUGAUAUACGGCCCAGACUCCUACGGGAGGCAGCAGUGGGGAAUAUUGCACAAUGGGCGCAAGCCUGAUGCAGCGACGCCGCGUGAGGGAUGACGGCCUUCGGGUUGUAAACCUCUUUCAGCACCGACGAAGCGCAAGUGACGGUAGGUGCAGAAGAAGGACCGGCCAACUACGUGCCAGCCGCCGCGGUAA
rnacentral:rRNA from 1 species